rnacentral:rRNA from 1 species
GACAGAGGGUGCAAACGUUGCUCGGAAUUACUGGGCGUAAAGCGCGUGUAGGCGGGUCGGAAAGUCGGGCGUGAAAGCCCCAGGCUCAACCUGGGAACUGCACUCGAAACUUCCGGUCUAGAGUGGUGGAGAGGGAAGUGGAAUUCCUGGUGUAGAGGUGAAAUUCGUAGAUAUCAGGAGGAACACCAGUGGCGAAGGCGGCUUCCUGGACACCAACUGACGCUGAGACGCGAAAGCGUGGGGAGCAAACAGGAUUAGAAACCCUGGUAGUCC